rnacentral:rRNA from 1 species
CUCUUCGGGGAUGAUUAAACCGGCGCACGGGUGAGUAACACGUGAGUGACCUGCCUUUUAGACUGGAACAACUUACCGAAAGGUGAGCUAAUGCCGGAUGAGUUAUAUAAGUGCAUGUUUAUAUAGGAAAAGUUGGGGAGACCUGACGCUGAAAGAUGGACUCGCGUCCCAUUAGCUAGUUGGUAGGGUAAUGGCCUACCAAGGCGACGAUGGGUAGCCGGCCUGAGAGGGUGGCCGGCCACACUGGGACUGAGACACGGCCCAGACUCCUACGGGAGGCAGCAGUGGGGAAUUUUGCGCAAUGCUCGUAAGAGUGACGCAGCGACGCCGCGUGAAUGACGAAGGCCUUCGGGUCGUAAAGUUCUUUCGACAGGGAAGAAAAUGCCUAUAAGUAACUGUGUAUGUAUUGACGGUACCUGUAUAAGCAGCCCCGGCUAACUCCGUGCCAGCAGCCGCGGUAAUACGGAGGGGGCGAGCGUUGUUCGGAGUGACUGGGCGUAAAGAGCACGUAGGCGGUGUUGUAAGUCAUUAGUCAAAGACUAGAGCUCAACUUUAGUAAGGCUAGUGAUACUAUAAUACUAGAGUAUCAGAGAGGAUUGCAGAAUUCCUGGUGUAGCGGUGAAAUGCGUAGAUAUCAGGAGGAAUACCGUUAGCGAAGGCGGCAAUCUGGCUGGAAACUGACGCUGAGGUGCGAAAGCGUGGGUAGCAAACAGGAUUAGAUACCCUGGUAGUCCACGCUGUAAACGAUGGAUGCUAGGUGUUGGGCUUUUAAGUUCAGUGCCGCAGCAAACGCGAUAAGCAUCCCGCCUGGGGAGUACGUUUGCAAGA